rnacentral:rRNA from 1 species
CCUACGGGGAGCAGCAGUGAGGAAUAUUGGUCAAUGGCCGGAAGGCUGAACCAGCCAUGCCGCGUGAAGGUCAGUGCCCUAUGGGCGUUAAACUUCUUUUGUGCGGGAGCAAUAAUGGUCACGUUGGGCCAGACGAGAGUACCGUACGAAUAAGCAACGGCUAACUCCGUUCCAGCAGCCGAGGUAAUACGGGGGAUGCAAGCGUUAUCCGGAAUUAUUGGGGUUAAAGGGGGCGUAGGCUGUGAUGUAAGUCAGCGGUGAAAUGCCCCCGCUCAAAGGGGUGAAGUGCAAUUGAUACUGCCUUGCUGGAAUGCGGAUGCAGUGGGAGGAAUGUGUGGUGGAGCGGUGAAAUGCAUAGAUAUCACACAGAACACCGAUUGCGAAGGCAUCUCACGAAUCCGCGAUUGACGCUGAUGCACGAAAGCGUGGGUAUCAAACAGGAUUAGAUACCCGGGUAGUC